UUCAUUAAUUGCUAUUGUUAACCUGUUACGUUAAAAUUAUAAAGCGAGGUCAUAAACAAUCAUAUCGGGUAGAACAUUAAUCAGAGAAUCCAUUAUUUUCCACUCGGCUUUGUAAAGCACUGAGAGAAUAUAGUGCCAAUUAGCAUUGCAGGUUUUGUAAUUAGGAGGAUUUUGUGAUUAAAGGAUUUACUGGAAGAUCUAAGAUUGGUAAAAAAGCAGAAACUAAAUAGUUUAUUUUCUGUAAUGGAUUAUCUAAUGGAUGUCAGCAAGGAUGCGUUUUCUCGUUCAGAAAAAGCACACUUAUUUUCUUGUGAGAGGAUAAAAUCAUCUGCAAUAGCUUAUAUUGUUUUAUAUUAUUUUCAACAUUUUUAGUGAUCAUUAAUAAAUAGAGAUACUCUUGAGAACUAGCUCUAAGACAAAUAAAACAUAUAAAAUUUAAAAAAAUGUGACUUAACAUUCUUUAUUUUUAGGUUUUUC